rfam:Oryza glumipatula chromosome 11, whole genome shotgun sequence.
AAUAAGUUUCCGUGUCUAACGUUUAACCGUAUGUCUUAUUUAAAAAAUUUGUAAAAAAAUUUUAAAAGUUAAGUCACGUAUAAAGUACUAUUCAUAUUUUAUCAUCUAAUAACAACAAAAAUAAUAAUCAUAAAAAUAUUUUAAAUAAGAUGGAUGAUUAAAAUUGGGUACUGAAACCUACAACUGCGCUUAUU